CUUUGUGCAGCAGAGCGCAGGAAACAUGACGAUACAAACCCUAGCCGCAACCUGCCUUUUCCCCUAGAUCUGAAAAUUGGUCGGCUCGGAGCAAGGCCACGCUGCGAACGAUGGGAGAUCUACUGGUGCUGCUAUGCGUUUACGCGCAGGGAGCCGUUGCACGGUGGCCGGCCGGCGAAGGUCCUCGUCCGUGUGGGCGGCAGCCAAUUGGGACUGGCGGCACGCGGGGAGAUAUGGUCGUGCGGCCAGCCACCGUAUGGCCCGGAAGGCCGCGACUAGCGACGCCGCCGGAAGUCGCUGGUGGAUCUGGCGACGGCGGACCUCGCCAGAUGCGUUAGUUGACGGCUUGCCGACGCUGCCGAAGAAAUUCCCUAGUUUUGGAUCAACUAAUCAUGCCAGAUGUUGAUGCGAAGUUGCGGAUUGAUAAGAACGCAAGCGGUCAAUCAUACCUGGCGACAUUUCCGUGCACACUGAACCCACGAGAUCAUGAUGGCUUGAUGGAAUAUGUUAAGUGAUCGUUCCCCUACCUGAAAAUAGAAAAAAAUUUUUUCUGUAGUACGACUAUAAGACAGAGGCCACCGCCAGACAUUAAUCCUGUCUGAAAAAGCUGCAGGCCAACUGGGAGGCAAACUACUGCAUCCUGGAAUGCACGCAUUCCUAUGAUACCUAUGAGCUCGGGAUGUGCACACAUUAUUAAAAUUUGAUGCAAAGAAAGAGAUGGAUACUAGGCAGACGUAUCAUGAUGGCCGGAUGGGGACGGGGU